rnacentral:lncRNA from 1 species
UUUAUAAGUUCAUUACUCUCAGUAUAUUUGUUUAAUUGAAAAUGGAUAAAUGGCCUUGUUCAUUUGGAUGAAUCUAACCUUGAGAAUGCAGCAAAGUGUGGUUUGAGUCGACCCACAGGUUGAUUGGGUCGACCCCGGUACAUCAAGAAGUCAUCUGGCACACUCCUGCAAAAAUGGCACAAAUGAACAGUGAGUUGGGUCGACCCAAAGUAAGCAUGAGUCAACCCAACCUCCAAAGAACCUCAAAACACAACAGAAG